rnacentral:rRNA from 1 species
GACGAACGCUGGCGGCGUGCUUAACACGUGCAAGUCGAACGAAGAGCGAUGGAAGCUUGCUUCUAUCAAUCUUAGUGGCGAACGGGUGAGUAACGCGUAAUCAACCUGCCCUUCAGAGGGGGACAACAGUUGGAAACGACUGCUAAUGCCGCAUACGAUCUGACCUCGGCAUCGAGGAUAGAUGAAAGGUGGCCUCUAUUUAUAAGCUAUCACUGAAGGAGGGGAUUGCGUCUGAUUAGCUAGUUGGAGGGGUAACGGCCCACCAAGGCGAUGAUCAGUAGCCGGUCUGAGAGGAUGAACGGCCACAUUGGGACUGAGACACGGCCCAGACUCCUACGGGAGGCAGCAGGGGGGAAUCUUCCGAAAUGGACGAAAGUCUGACGGAGCAACGCCGCGUGAGUGAUGACGGCCUUCGGGUUGUAAAGCUCUGUUAAUCGGGACGAAAGGCCUUCUUGCGAAUAGUUAGAAGGAUUGACGGUACCGGAAUAGAAAGCCACGGCUAACUACGUG